rnacentral:rRNA from 1 species
CCUACGGGAGGCAGCAGUGAGGAAUAUUGGUCAAUGGGCGCGAGCCUGAACCAGCCAAGUCGCGUGAGGGAUGACGGUCCUACGGAUUGUAAACCUCUUUUGCCGGGGAGCAAGCGUGCGUUCGUGAACGCGCGUCGAGAGUACCCGGAGAAAAAGCAUCGGCUAACUCCGUGCCAGCAGCCGCGGUAAUACGUAGGUGGCAAGCGUUGUCCGGAUUUACUGGGUGUAAAGGGCGUGUAGCCGGGUUGACAAGUCAGAUGUGAAAUCCUGCGGCUUAACCGCAGAACUGCAUUUGAAACUGUUGAUCUUGAGUACUGGAGAGGCAGAUGGAAUUCCUAGUGUAGCGGUGAAAUGCGUAGAUAUUAGGAGGAACACCAGUGGCGAAGGCGGUCUGCUGGACAGCAACUGACGGUGAGGCGCGAAAGCGUGGGGAGCAAACAGGAUUAGAUACCCGAGUAGUC